ACAGAAUAAUUUCCAUUUUUGCUAUAAUUUUUUUGUUCAUUCUCCAGGACUGUCUGUUCUUUCAGUCCCCACCUCCUGCCGGCGUAGGAGGGAAAUCUGUUUCUUUCUCGAUAAUUGCCCCACUGGCUUCUAUAUUUGGAUCUAUUUCCUCUCCUCUCACUUGCUGUCGCUCUCUUGCUGCUUUGUCACUGUUAUUGAUUCGCAUUCUCACGCUGCUGCAAAGCAAAACCAUCCAGAAUUGGUGCAAGGGAGAAGCAAGGAAGCAUCAACGUAAAUCUGCUCCACUGUGGAAAUGAACGCUGGCGUUAGGAGCUUCUUUAGUCUGCUGCUAAUCACACACUUCAGCAGAGAAAUCAUCUUUUCCGUGACUAGUUUCUCUCUAUUUUCUCAUCUCUCCUGCGGGUUUAUCCAGCCCAGAAAAUCAGUGAUGACUCCAUCAACACCCCCCACCCUCCUGUGCUGUUCAGCGUCAGUCCCCAAUCCUACAUCAGCUUCCUGCUGCUGGGCCUGACCGUCGUCGUGUUUGGCGGCGUCUAUCUCUGGAUCCUCAGAUACGUCUGCAUCGGCUGCUGCCAACCCAUCGCAGUCGGCGUUGAAUCAGAAUCCCUGGCAGGGAUGGUGUGAAGUCAUCGGCCCCUGUCUGAUUGAGUUGGGCUGACUACCAAGUCACACAGGACAUUUACAGGUAAAAGACCUGGCCUAUCAGACUUGUCAUACAUUUUGCAAAGGGAAGUAGGUGUCAUUUGUGCUCUCAUAUACUUAUUUUUUUAGUUCCAGAGCACUUGGUGAAGGUGUCGAUGCUGGAAAAUAAGUAUGAAGUAGCUCUUUUGCUCUUACCUCUACACCCUGCUUACCUGAUAUCUGGCAAACAUCUGUUGUACAGUAUGCCUGAAAAAUCGCUAAAAAGCUAUUGAGCAGUGAACGUGAGACACAACUGUAAAGCUGGUUGGCAGAAAUUUAGGAAAACGUUCAGCUAAUAAGAUGAUAAAAUGCUUUGUGUGUUUGCUUUAGGGUUUUCUUUGUACACUGUUAAAAAAAACAUCUUAAAAAAACGGUAAUAGUCCAGCAGCUGGGGAGCCAAAAUACUACCAUAAAAUAACAGAAAAUAACUCCCUCAUAAAAAUAC